rnacentral:tRNA from 1 species
GCUGUGGUGUCGGAGUGGUUAACGAGUUAGACUUGAAUGCCCCUUCAUGCCAUCUAAUGCCUUCGGGCGCGCAGGUUCGAAUCCUGUCCGCAGCG